AUUGAACGCUGGCGGCAUGCCUUACACAUGCAAGUCGAACGGCAGCACGGGAGCAAUCCUGGUGGCGAGUGGCGAACGGGUGAGUAAAGUAUCGGAACGUGCCCAGUCGUGGGGGAUAACGUAGCGAAAGUUACGCUAAUACCGCAUACGAUCUAUGGAUGAAAGCGGGGGAUCGCAAGACCUCGCGCGAUUGGAGCGGCCGAUAUCAGAUUAGGUAGUUGGUGGGGUAAAGGCUCACCAAGCCGACGAUCUGUAGCUGGUCUGAGAGGACGACCAGCCACACUGGGACUGAGACACGGCCCAGACUCCUACGGGAGGCAGCAGGGGAAUUUUGGACAAUGGGCGAAAGCCUGAUCCAGCCAUGCCGCGUGCAGGAUGAAGGCCUUCGGGUUGUAAACUGCUUUUGUACGGAACGAAAAGGUUUGGGCUAAUAAGCUGAGCUCAUGACGGUACCGUAAGAAUAAGCACCGGCUAACUACGUGCCAGCCGCCGCCGUAA
rnacentral:rRNA from 1 species